rnacentral:rRNA from 1 species
GACGAACGCUGGCGGCGUGCCUAAUACAUGCAAGUUGAGCGCUGAAGGUUGGUACUUGUACCAACUGGAUGAGCAGCGAACGGGUGAGUAACGCGUGGGGAAUCUGCCUUUGAGCGGGGGACAACAUUUGGAAACGAAUGCUAAUACCGCAUAAAAACUUUAAACACAAGUUUUAAGUUUGAAAGAUGCAAUUGCAUCACUCAAAGAUGAUCCCUCGUUGUAUUAGCUAGUUGGUGAGGUAAAGGCUCACCAAGGCGAUGAUACAUAGCUGACCUGAGAGGGUGAUCGGCCCCAUUGGGACUGAGACACGGCCCAAACUCCUACGGGAGGCAGCAGUAGGGAAUCUUCGGCCAUGGACGAAAGUCUGACCGAGCAACGCCGCGUGAGUGAAGAAGGUUGUCGGAUCGUAAAACUCUGUUGGUAGAGAAGAACGUUGGUGAGAGUGGAAAGCUCAUCAAGUGACGGUAACUACCCAGAAAGGAACGGCUAACUACGUG